AAAUUGAAGAGUUUGAUCAUGGCUCAGAUUGAACGCUGGCGGCAGGCCUAACACAUGCAAGUCGAACGGUAACAGGAAGCAGCUUGCUGCUUUGCUGACGAGUGGCGGACGGGUGAGUAAUGUCUGGGAAACUGCCUGAUGGAGGGGGAUAACUACUGGAAACGGUGGCUAAUACCGCAUAACGUCGCAAGACCAAAGAGGGGGACCUUCGGGCCUCUUGCCAUCAGAUGUGCCCAGAUGGGAUUAGCUUGUUGGUGAGGUAACGGCUCACCAAGGCGACGAUCCCUAGCUGGUCUGAGAGGAUGACCAGCCACACUGG
rnacentral:rRNA from 3 species